GAGAAUCUGGAAACAGGGAGGUAGAAGAUUGGCAUGAAAAAUGGGGGAUCUAAAGGGAGCCCCCGUCCUAGGAUUCCCUGAAGGUGAAACAGAUUGAGCCAGAAGGAAGACAGUGCUG